rnacentral:lncRNA from 1 species
AAACGUGGUCGCGCGGGUCGCUGACCGAGAUGUCUGGGUGCGACAAAGAUUGCGCCCAGAUAAACAAGUCAGACUCGCACUCGGUAGUGAGUGAUGGGCGACAAAAGGCAAGGCCAACACAAAGGGGCAUUUUUGUUAUCGAAAAGCCCUUGAAGCAACUAAAGCUAAAGAACAUGAGGUUAGCUAAAAAUCAUCUGGCUUGCUCAGAAGGUCUGUUUGGGUGUUUCGUGUUCGCAGGGCAGCACCUGUUGUACUGUUCUGCCUGUAGCCGUUUACCCUCACACCUCCAUUUUCAAAAACAUUUUCCUGGCAUGGAGAAUUUGUUGGUGAUUUGGCUGGCUAGAGUCUAGGUUUCAGGAACCGGACAUGAAGCUCUGUGUGACUGAAAUGAACCACCUGUUGUCUUCAAAUGGAAGUGAAGAAAAGGUCGAGGAAGAUGGAGUGGGGAUAAGAAUGACUUCAAGCAUCUCACUUGAUAAUCUUGUUCUUCUUGAGAGAUUUACCUAUCUCUUGUGAAUAGGAAGAACUUUGCUUGUAAAAUCAAUUUCAGAUAACCAUAUUUAGAUGGGUGGCGAUCAUCAUUUUUCUUAAAGUUGCUUCCAGCAGCCGGCCCAGUGGCGGAGCGGGCUUUUCCUGGCUCCUGGAGUGCCCUCCCCCACCGCAUGGUCUACUUGACAGGUUUUAAGACUUGGCUGAAGUGGAAUAGCCUCUGUGAAGACUUCCUUGAUGUCACCUUCCUUCUGGGUAAAUUAUCACACGAAAGACCAGAGGCAGCUGCAUCAGACAGGUUGGAAAAGUAUGCAUUUAUUUCUAAAGAGAAUGAACCUAUUAAGACAGUUUGAAAAAUGGUGCAAAAGAAAUAUAUACCAUCAAUCAAGACUGUGUAUUAACUUUGAGUAAUUGUAGUCUGAAAUCCACAUUCCUGGAGCAAAGAAGUGACAUACCUGCCAUAGAUCAGUGUAAACAUGGAGACAGAACAAUGAGAGCCUGUACAAUAAACGAAGAGGAAGAUUGGUACCAGAUCAAAACAUUUCCCUCAUCUGCCUGCAGUUUAAUCUGGGAAGAACUGGAAUUAAGUUCUGGACCACACCAUGUUUAUGACUGACUACUUAUUAAUUGUAUUUAAAUGUGUCAUAAAGUUAAAUGUGUAGUAAACUAUAUGAAUUUUAUUUCAUAUUUUGAGUUUUUUGAUUUAUAACUACUAAUUCCUUCUAUCAUGAUAAAGUUGUGGGUUGAAAGUACCCAUUCGAUAUUACGAAAGGUAAAUACCACAAUCGGUAGAUCAGAGUGGUGGUUACAAUCAAGAUUCUAGUGACCAAAGUCAGACCAGUUGGGUCUGCAGCAUGCUUUAUAGACUAGUAUCUCUGUAGGACCUGUUACUCUUUGAAUAUUUAUUCAAUAAUUGAAUAAUUCAAUGUUCAAUUGAAUAAUUCAGUAACUGAAGGUCUAAGCGUCAGGCAUUGUUUUGAUCUUAUAACCUUCUCAAGAAUCUAUGAAUUAAGUUGUAAUUUCUCCACUUAAGGAUAAUGAAGCUGAAGCUUAAGAAGGUUUAAGUACCUUCACCAGCCAACAAGAAGAGCGCUCAAGAUCCAAACCUAGUUCAUUCCAAAGUAAAGCUCGGUCUUAACUACCGUGCAGGUCUGUUUCUGUGCUACAUCUCUGGAUGAUUUCAUUUCAGGGCAUUUGUGUCUGAAUUGAGGAUAAUCUUUUGCAUCAAAUUGAUACAGAUUUUGAUGCUAAUCUGUGUAUCAUGAAUCAUGGUUAGUCACAGAAGUUAUUUGUUCACUUUGUAAUUGUUACACCUUAAACUCAUUGACUUUAAUGAAAUGGCUGAUAGUAAUAUUGGAGGCCUAAUUGUUAGCUUGGGCAGGUGGACCGCAGGCUUGGUAUUUAAUCACAUAAUGUGCCUUUGUGAAAACAGAACAGUUGUAAGACCGGCAUCAGCAAUUCCUGAGGGAGGAUUCCAAGAAGCAGCUAAGACCUUGAAAAUUCCCCUGGGUAUUAUGGAUUUCAUUUUAAGUGAAA